UUUUGCAAUCAACGUUACAGUUUUUUUUAAAUCUGGGGAUGGAUGGCUGAGUUGGACACGUUCUGGAUCCACACGACCUGUGAGUAUUCUCACUACUUUGCUCUCAAGAAAUUGCAGUACAAUCUGAAUUACUUUUUGGAUGAACUGGGUGUCUACCAGUGUUACACCACUAGUUCUCAGUAGUAAUAACACUCCAUUUCAUGUCUCUCAGUAGAUGAAGCCAGCUGCAACCCGUAGAGUGGAGUCGUGGAGAGAGCCCCUCGCCCCUCAGCUAAACCAGAGUAAAUGAAGCCAGCACCAACCUGUGGAGUGGAGUCCAGGAGAGAGCAUGCCGCCCCUCAGCUAAACCAGAUCAGAUAAAGCCAACUGGAACCAUAUUUUUACAUAUUUUAUAUUAAAUAUAUUGAAUAAAACUACAUAUGAUAAAGAAAGUGUUAUCUUAUCUUUUUUAUAUGCUAAACUUGAUUAAAUUGGUGAUUACAUGUUGAAGCUGUAGAAGAAUGAAAAAUGUAAGCUAAACAAAAUUGUUUUUAACUACAUAAUUAAAAUUCCUGCCUUUUACACAUGUUCACUUGGCGUUUAUAUAACAUCCAAAU